CCCAGCCUUUGAAAGUGGUCAUGGGCUGCCAGUGCCCCAGUCGUUGAUAGCACAGGGAGAGGACCGGCUGAAAGCACUUCCCCGUUUGGAGGUCCUGUUCCGUCCCUUAGAAACUCUGGAGCUUUCCCACA
ensembl:snoRNA SNORA71 Small nucleolar RNA SNORA71